rnacentral:rRNA from 1 species
AACGAACGCUGGCGGCAGGCUUAACACAUGCAAGUCGAACGCCCCGCAAGGGGAGUGGCAGACGGGUGAGUAACGCGUGGGAACAUACCCUUUUCUGCGGAAUAGCUCUGGGAAACUGGAAUUAAUACCGCAUACGCCCUACGGGGGAAAGAUUUAUCGGGGAAGGAUUGGCCCGCGUUGGAUUAGCUAGUUGGUGGGGUAAAGGCCUACCAAGGCGACGAUCCAUAGCUGGUCUGAGAGGAUGAUCAGCCACAUUGGGACUGAGACACGGCCCAAACGCCUACGGGAGGCAGCAGUGGGGAAUAUUGGACAAUGGGCGCAAGCCUGAUCCAGCCAUGCCGCGUGAGUGAUGAAGGCCUUAGGGUUGUAAAGCUCUUUCACCGGUGAAGAUAAUGACGGUAACCGGAGAAGAAGCCCCGGCUAACUUCGUGCCAGCCGCCGCCGUAACAC